rnacentral:rRNA from 1 species
CCAGACUCCUACGGGAGGCAGCAGUCGAGAAUCAUUCACAAUGGGGGGAACCCUGAUGCAGCGACGCCGCGUGGGUGAAGGAGUGCUUCGGCAUGUAAAGCCCUAUCGGCAGGGGAGAAACAAGGCGGUACCUUACUAAGAAGCCCCGGCUAACUACGUGCCAGCAGCCGCGGUAAUACGUAGGGGGCGAGCGUUAUCCGGAAUCACUGGGUGUAAAGGGAGCGUAGACGGCCAUGCAAGCCAGGGGUGAAAGCCCGGGGCCCAACCCCGGGACUGCCGUUGGAACUGCAUGGCUGGAGUGCGGGAGGGGCAGGCGGAAUUCGUGGUGUAGCGGUGAAAUGCGUAGAUAUCAGGAGGAACACCGGCGGCGAAGGCGGCCUGCUGGACCGCGACUGACGUUGAGGCUCGAAAGCGUGGGGAGCGAACAGGAUUAGAUCCCCGAGUA